CCCCGGGCUCAACCNGGGAACUGCGUUCUGAACUGGGUAGCUAGAGUAUNUCAGAGGGGGGUAGAAUUCCACGUGUAGCAGUGAAAUGCGUAGAGAUGUGGAGGAAUACCGAUGGCGAAGGCAGCCCCCUGGGAUAAUACUGNCAUUCAUGCUCGAAAGCGUGGGUAGCAAACAGGAUUAGAUACCNUGGUAGUCCACGCCCUAAACGAUGUCGAUUAGCUGUUGGGCAACUUGAUUGCUUAGUAGCGUAGCUAACGCGUGAAAUCGACCGCCUGGGGAGUACGGUCGCAAGAUUAAAACUCAAAGGAAUUGACGGGGACCCGCACAAGCGGUGGAUGAUGUGGAUUAAUUCGAUGCAACGCGAAGAACCUUACCUGGUCUUGACAUGUACGGAAGAACUCAGAGACGAGUUUGUGCCUUCGGGAGCCGUAACACAGGUGCUGCAUGGCUGUCGUCAGCUCGUGUCGUGAGAUGUUGGGUUAAGUCCCGCAACGAGCGCAACCCUUGUCAUUAGUUGCCAUCAUUUAGUUGGGCACUCUAUGAGACUGCCGGUGACAAACCGGGGGAAGGUGGGGAUGACGUCGAGUCCUCAUGGCCCUUAUGACCAGGGCUUCACACGUCAUACAAUGGUCGGUACAGAGGGUAGCCAAGCCGCGAGGUGGAGCCAAUCCCAGAAAACCGAUCGUAGUCCGGAUUGCACUCUGCAACUCGAGUGCAUGAAGUCGGAAUCGCUAGUAAUCGCAGGUCAGCAUACUGCGGUGAAUACGUUCCCGGGUCUUGUACACACCGCCCGUCACACCAUGGGAGUGGGGGAUACCAGAAGUAGGU
rnacentral:rRNA from 1 species